rnacentral:misc_RNA from 1 species
GAAUGCUGUCUUGAUGUGAACGUAUAAUAGCCACAUUCAGGAUAUGGGACAGGACAGCCAAUAACAUAAAAACUAGGAUGCGAGGUCAACAAUCAGUGGAGACUCCGGUGGGAGUUCCGGCCACCAUCGUAUGGGAUGCUUAUCGUGGCCUUGAGCUGGGAAGGCUCGUUGAUCAACUUCUUGGUGACGUUAUUGGCAAAGUAGAGGUUGUACAAGGCGAUGGAGGCGUUGGUACUAUCAUCAAACUUACAUUUCCUCCUGGUAAUUUUUCUCAUUCCUGAAGAUUUUCCUUCCCUUUCUUUCCUUACUUGAUCUGAUUGUGUUUUUGUCUUAUUUUUUAUGAGAAUACUUAACAACUUCUUGAAAUUGUUAAUUUUAUGGCCUUCCCCUUGCCUAAAAUUUCUUCAAGAUUAGGCUAUUGAGUAUAUGCUCCAGUUCUUGUACAUCCCAUUUUAUGAUGUUGGUGCUGUUCAAAUGCUUUGAUGAGAACAAAACAGAGCCGAGUAUAAUAACUUGUUGUCUUGUUGUUAGAUCCGUUGCACUGCAAUUCUUGGGGCCAAUUUUUAUAUUGGUAUUGCAGAUAGAAUUUGUCAUUGUAUUGUUUACUUUGAGAUUUAAUUUAGCUGCUAAUGUCCUCUGGGACAUUGGGUCUUAUAAUUUCCCUUCUCAUCCCCCUACCUCACAAAAGAAAGUUACACGUUGUUUCCUUUUGCAAGACAAACAUGUGUGUCAUUCAUUUGCAACUCAUUUAAUUGUUAACCCUGAGACACUGUCAAUUUGGUGAUCCUGUUAGGAACUCCUGGAAUUGGUUACCUGAAGGAAAUAUUUACAAAGAUUGAUGAUGAUAAUCGUGUGAAGGAAACAGAACUCAUAGAAGGAGGUUACAAAGAUCUUGGCUUUGAUAUUUUUCGUUGUCGCUUGGAGAUCAUUGAGAAGGAUGCUAAAUCAAGCAUUAUCAGAUCCACGGUAGAGUAUGAGAUAGAUGACACCAAACCUGAGCUCGCUUCUUUCGUCUCCAUCAAGCACUUUGAGCUUAUGGCAGAAACUAUUGGGAAAUAUCUCACUGACAAGAAAUCCAUCAAAUAGACAGAGUUUAUACUCUUUCUGAUGCAUUUUCUUUAUUUCU